GUCCAAUAAAAUUUAUCCUCACCCUCUCUCUCAAUUGGAACACGAGAGCUACUAGCGACACAAUUAGCAACUUCCGGGUUAAGCCAUAUCAGCAUCUUACGGGUAUCCCAGCAUCCUUUAGGGGUAACAAAAUCACACUCUUUUUGGUUGGUAUCAAACUAUCAAUACUGUGGUUAUCAAUAUUCGCAUGUCGAAUCAAAGGUUCUUCCAUGUCCGACCAUCUAUCCGGCCAAAACUUAGCUUGCUGUCGAGAGACAAUUCUCCUUCCCAAUCCCUUAAUGAAUGUAUCCCUCACUUUAGAGAUCCCUCUCCAAGUAGCCGAGGCAACAUUUUUCUGCUUUACCACCGGGAUUUCAGCAUUCCCACGUCCAUAUUUGGAUCUCAACACUUUAACCCAAAGGAUUCUUUCUUCAUAACUCGACUCUCAGUCUCGACUUCGGCCUGUUAGCGCCGCAGACGCAACGUAGUCCUUGGCCCUCAGUCAAAAGUUCUCGCCUCCGCCCUCCGCCCUCCGCCUCCGCUUCUCCGCCGUUGCAGUUUCGGCAUUGAUCGAGAUUGCUCCACCGUCUACGGUGCUGCUCGUUUGCGUUAUGCGCGUGUAGUCGUGUUUUUCUGAUUCGCUUGGCAGCCGUGGCUCGUGUCCUUCACUUGUUUCUUUACUAUGAUUCAUUCACGGUCUCACUGUCUCUGAGAGGUGAAAGUGGUGGUUGCUUUUGAUGCAAUGUUGUCUAGACUACCUAGGCGCAAGGAAGAUUUUUCUGGGUAUAGUUUUGAGGCCUAAAACGUGGUCAAAUCUCCAAGCACUAGUUUUUCUAUAUUUAAUCUGCUUGCUCUGGGCUUGAGCAAAGGGUUUCAAUUCCUGUGUUCAAUAUCUUGCCUCCAAAUUUUGUACUGAUUAUUGAUCAAAUGAGGUGGAUUCAAGUGAUAUGCUACUCCAAAGGGAGCUUUGCAAAGUCCGCAUACUAUGCCCAAAUAUAAGGAGUAACGUAGUUGAUUCAGCUUUAUCAGGUAACAGAGGAGCCACAUGAGAGCAAAGAAUGAUGGCCAAGUAUUAUCUCCUAUACAGAAUAUUGUAGCUUAGUUUAUUUUAUUUUAUUUUUCUGACAGGAAUGUUUAUCCUUGUAGCAGAUAACCAUUUUUUUUUAGUUUCACAAUUAUAUUUGGUCAAGGUUUGUUGUUAUUUUUAAUCAAGUUAUCACAUUUCUAAUUCUGUAAUUUAUUUUUAUUUAAAAUUGUUUGAUCAUUUUCUAUCUCUUGAAGAAGCCUAGAACUUGACCACUGUGUGUGUUUGUUUUAGAUGUGUAUGUCAUAGAGCCAAGGACUUGGACAUGUAAGUCAUAAUGAAUCAAACAUGUUGAUGGAGUCCCUUUGGAUGGAGAUCUCUAAUUAAAUUCUCCAAACGGUUUUGACAAAUUAUUAGCACUACUUACUAGGUCCUGUCAACUAUGUUUCAGUCACAUGAUUUUUUUCAAGUUAUCAUUGUUUUCUCAUACUUGGUUUAGCUCUACUUCAGCUCUUCUUGGAUUUGAAUCAAGCUCACAGAACCUAAUUCCCAAAGUGAAAAAUGAAUAAGAGGUUCCAAAGUCGUCUUAAAAAAGGUUUAUUUUACCUAUCCAAGCAAGAUCAACUACUGAAUUGUUGAAGAAACUUAGAGAAGCAUAGCGUGAAAAAAUGACGAAAGCACAGGAUGAUGCAACAGCUAGAUAUAAAGACGUCCCUCUUGGAAUCAACUCAAAUCCAAGCAUAUCUCCGAAGAGGACCUCCUUGGAAAAGAAAGAUGUACAGGGGCUUUCUCCUCAGUAAUAACUUUUUGCAAAACAUGGAUUGCAUAACUUUCUGUGGUUAUAGGCAUUUAGAGUUUACUGUAUUUUGAGAGCUUAUUGCACUAUUUUAUUAGGAAUUUAAGAUUGUAUUUUGGAAGUUUAUUGUAUGUUUAUUGGAUACUUUAAAUUUGUUGAAUUAUAUAUAUAUAUAUAUAUAUAUAGUAAAUCAAGCCA